UCCUACGGGAGGCAGCAGUAGGGAAUCUUCCACAAUGGACGAAAGUCUGAUGGAGCAACGCCGCGUGAGUGAAGAAGGGUUUCGGCUCGUAAAACUCUGUUGUUAAAGAAGAACAUAUCUGAGAGUAACUGUUCAGGUAUUGACGGUAUUUAACCAGAAAGCCACGGCUAACUACGUGCCAGCAGCCGCGGUAU
rnacentral:rRNA from 1 species